AGUGGAUCACCAAGCCCAGCAGGCGGCUCUCGGUGGAGACGGGAGAAGCGGCUGUCAUUCCCUGAGAGGAGCAAGACCACCCGUAUCUCGCCGCCCCGCCACCUUUCCCGCGAUGCCCAGGGUGCCCCGCCAAGGCUUCUCACCGGGUCAGUGUUGAGCGCGGUGAGUGGGGUCCGCGGCGGCGCGACCGGACAAGCCCCGGCCGGGUGGAGAGGUGGCGCGGGCGGUGGCGGCUGUCUCAGCAAAGCAGGGGUUUCUUUUUAAAAGUCUACAUCUUUGUAAGAUUUGCCAUGUUGAAGACAAAUGUCAAAGAGAUUUGAUAUGAAAUCUGAAUGUUGCAGUGUGUAUAUUACCAAUGGAUCCCAAAUAUCCCUCACCUGUGAGUUUACUGUCCGUGGCCAAGCGACUUUCACAAGAUGAACAUUCAGGAACAGUGCUUCACAGCCGAAAUACACGAGCUCUUCCAGAUUUUAGUCUACGCUCUUCAAACAGUAGCAGCCCAGGAGUCUAACAUGUUCCCUUUUCCAUCUGGAAAGGAAACUGAGUCUUCUUACUUACAACUACUGAUGUCAUAUAUUCUUGAUCUCUGUGUAUUUUUCUGCCUUGUCUCUAACAAUUAUUUCUUAUAAGCAUGAUUGGCCUCCAGGUUAAUUUCAGGGGGUGGGGGAAGCUUGUAGUGGGGUUGAGUGAUAUUUUCUGCAUUAACACUAAAGUUUAAAUGUGUGUGUGUGUCUAUGUUUGAGAACAUGUGUGUGCAUGUGUGUGCAUACAUGUGUAUGUGUGUGUUUGCACAUGAAGGCCAGAAGACUACCUCCUUUGUAAUUUUCAAACCACAAUGCACUUCUUUGGAGACGGGCUCUCUCAUUGCCUUGAAGCCUCCCAAUUAGGAUAAGCUGGCUGGCCAGCAAGCCCCAAGGAUCCCGGUCUCUUCCUCCCCAGUACUGGAAUUCCAAGCACACACCAACAUGCCUGGCAUUUCUACAUGGGUGCUGGGGAUUGAAUUUAGCUCAUCAUGCUUGUAAGAUGGACAUGUUAUCAAGUCAUCUAGCUCCAAGCCCAGAAUAUUAGUUGUUUAUUUGUUUUAAAUAUUAAGACAAACCCCAUGGAAUUGGAGAUCCCUACCAAAAAUUUGCUUCCUAAACAAAUUAAGUAAACAAUACUUUGCAGUUUUUAUCAUUAGUCCAAGAAAGCAUUCUUUUUCUCCCUCUUGACUUUUCCCUUGUUAAUUCAAUGACUAUGUAUGGAGCACCGUUUAAAACUAGGGUUUGUGUUUUGGCUUCUGAGCUUGUGAGAAUGCCUCAAUUCUUGAACGAAGUUUUGGGGUUCAGGUGUCCUGAGCCCUUUCAGCACCCUUAAGACUUUGAAGGAGAUGUUUUCCUGUCUAGGCCAUGACUUUCUUUUUCUUUUUUUCUUUUUUCUUCCCUCCUUCCUUUGCUCCCUCCUUACACUCCUCUUUUUUAAGAGAAACUUUAAGAACAGUUUUCAAUUUACAGAGACAUUAGAAAGGAAAGAGAUUCCAUACACUCUAUACCUACUUGGCUCUGAUUGCCAACAUCAUUCUUUAGUGUGGUAUAUGUAAUUAGCAUCAAGGAGUUAACAUUAUUAGGAACUGAAGUCUCUGCUUCAGUCAGACUCCCUUAGCUUCCCCCUAAUGUCCUUGCUCUGUCCCAGAGUCCCAUCUAGAAGCCCACAUUACAUUUAGUCUUCAUCUCUCCUUAAUAUUCCUCUUACCUUAUGCGUUUCUCCAGAUUUCCCUUGGCAGUAUGAAAGAGUUUGGUUCUCCCUGAAAAAUAAACAGAAAUAAGGAAUUUG
ensembl:lincRNA A330033J07Rik RIKEN cDNA A330033J07 gene